UACAGAGGGUGCGAGCGUUAAUCGGAAUUACUGGGCGUAAAGCGUGCGUAGACGGUAGCGUAAGUCAGAUGUGAAAUCCCCGGGCUUAACCUGGGAACUGCAUUGGUGACUGGCGGGCUAGAGUGCGGCAGAGGGGGGUAGAAUUCCACGUGUAGCAGUGAAAUGCGUAGAGAUGUGGAGGAAUACCGAUGGCGAAGGCAGCCCCCUGGGCUAACACUGACGCUCAUGCACGAAAGCGUGGGGAGCAAACAGG
rnacentral:rRNA from 1 species